CUGAAACAGCAGAGUGGUGUGAUGCAAGUAGUUUUUUUACAGGCAUCUAACACGCCUCCGAAACAUUCCUGGCUUUAAACCAUUCAGACUUCUAUCCUGCUACUUUCGUAAAGAAAGCACUGCACUGCAAUUUUUCAUUAUUACAGCUGCGUGUACUCUAAGCUAAGAAAAAUGCCAGCUCCUUCAGAAUUGGAAAAGGCAAUGGAGUGUCUCCUCAUUGGCUAUGAUAAUUAUGCAUCUGGCAAAUUUAGCAUGUCAAGGGAUGAAUUCAAAAAGAUGAUAAACACUGAAUUUCAUGCAUUUACUGAGAGACAGAAUCCUAAAGCACUGGAUGGACUAGUCAGAAGUCUGGAUCAGAAUUCGGACAACAGGAUACUGUUCACAGAAUUCUUGAAUUUUAUUGCUGGUUUGGUAAUGUCCUGCUUUGAAUUGUACUGCAAGAGCCAUCAAUUAAAGUCAAGCUCAUAAUAAAAAGGUCAAAGAAAGACACAUAAUAAGCUGACUGAAAACUUUGAUUUGUGUAAAAAUGUAUAGCCAUUUUCAUCUUUGUGUAAAUAACAUUUUGCAUCAUUGACAAGUAAGCAUUUCAGUAAGAAACCCACAUGCACACAAAAAGACUAUCAGUAUUAUAAUGAUCUUCUCCUUUGACUUGAAUAAUUUUAAUGCUUAGUGUCAAAUUUCUUCUUGUGGGACAAUGUCUCCUUGAACACCUGGAAAUAGUCUCUGAGUGAGCAUUUGUUCUGUGGGUUCUAUAUUUAUAUUUUUGUGGCUAGGGCUAAUUUGAUGUCAACAAGUUUCCGUUUUGUAAUGUGAAAUAAAAAAAUGAGCAUUUCUUUCA